rnacentral:snRNA from 1 species
CUCUCACGAGACGGUCGCAUUUGCAUGGGGUCAGCAGCCCGAGUGCGCUUUCGCCUUUUACUAAAGAAUUCCGUGCGUCGACUCGCUUUAUGAGUUUAACUCAAUUUUUGGAGUCCCGACCGCAAGGAAGGGAU